UCAGGUGGGACUGACUUCCAGUAAUGGGAAGGGCCCUGGAGAAAAUUGACAGUGCUUUCCUGCUCUUCUGUUCAACAGAGCUUAUAGAAAAUCUCAUUUAAAAAAAAAAAAAAAAAAGAAAAAAAAAAGAAAAUAAUAUUCUGCCAGAGUGUUAGGUGUUUUUUUCAACUUUGUUUUACUUCUGAUUGCUCAGGCACUUGGCCACAUAGCUCUGGGGAAAUGUGAGGAGUAGCAAACUGUUGGUUUCAUUUCUUGCUUAUCAUAGUGGUAGCACACUUGAAGACCUCAGCAGCUGCAGUCUUGGCCAACUACAUCUGGAUUAAGUAGGUGUGCCUCAGUGCCUUCUCUGCUGACUACUUCUACUCCAUAACCUCCCUGAUGUUCUCCAGAACUUGUCAGCCCAAGUUAGAUUACGGGGUACACUUCAAAGCAGGAGAGGAUGUCCAGGAGGGAAUGGCAAGAACCUCUUCUCACAAAAACAGAAACCAGAUUUUCCUCCCUGCAGGGUCCUCCAACUGCUGUAACACCAGGCAAAGCAGGUGCUUUGGAGGGCACCACAGCCACAUGAUUUUCAUUCUCUGGCCAGCUGGGUGCUGAGCCUCAGAAGAGGGCUCCUCCCCCUGGGCUAUGUCUAGGCAGAGCCUACUGGACUGAAGCUCUGAGCUGGGCUCUAAUCAUUGCCUUGGUCAGCAGCAGCUACAGUUUUCUGAGCACCUUGCCCUCUCACACGCUCCCCAUAUGUAUGAGUAAGCUAGAGCUGAUUCUUGAUCAUUUUCUUAGUUCCAAACACCUUGUUUUAAGGAUUCCAUCUCCCUUGGAAGAACUGAAAUCUCCUAAACUUCCUUUCAAGGACUGUUUAAACCAGAGGUAACACUCUCUUGGCUGUGCAGGCUACAUACAGAGAUGAUGAUACUCUUCACUUUAGCCACCCUUCUGGGAGAAUUUCCAGAAUCCAGCAAUGCUGCUACUGCACAGAUCUCCUUCAGAAAAUAGCUGCUUUAUCUUCAAAUGUGUUAUGAAACCUUUGAGAAGCUGCUGCUGAAAGUAAAGCUGUUAGAAGGGUCUGGUAGGAUUUGAAAAGCACAAUCCACUGAGAGUCAUGGGAGUCUUUGCAGCAAACCUCUCUGAAGCGGGUUCAGUCAUUGCUGUGAGUGAACAUAUGUUUGCCUUGUUCUAGUAGGAGUGGAGCACGUUCCCCACCGACACAAAGUCUCCUCUUUCUGAAGAGGGAUUUUCUGAACAUCAGCAGCUUGUCCAAAUGCUAAUCCUGAAAUCAGUGAAGUGAUUCUCUAAAGGCUGGUAUUUUUUCAAUAAAUGUUACUAUUAUCUUGAACACUGUUUUUAUUUAUCCACAACAUCUGCACGAGAU